UACGGAGGGGGCUAGCGUUGUUCGGAAAUACUGGGCGUAAAGCGCACGUAGGCGGAUCGAUCAGUCAGGGGUGAAAUCCCAGGGCUCAACCCUGGAACUGCCUUUGAUACUGUCGAUCUGGAGUAUGGAAGAGGUGAGUGGAAUUCCGAGUGUAGAGGUGAAAUUCGUAGAUAUUCGGAGGAACACCAGUGGCGAAGGCGGCUCACUGGUCCAUUACUGACGCUGAGGUGCGAAAGCGUGGGGAGCAAACAGG
rnacentral:rRNA from 1 species